GACAGAGGUGCCGAGCGUUAGGCGGAAUCACUGGGCUUAAAGCGUGUGUAGGCGGCCCGUUAAGUGUCUUGUGAAAUCCCCCGGCUCAACCGGGGAAUGGCUGGGCAUACUGGCGAUCUUGAGCAGUCUAGGGGCAGAUGGAACAAGUGGUGGAGCGGUGAAAUGCGUAGAUAUCACUUGGAACGCCAAAGGUGAAAACAGUCUGCUGGGGACUUGCUGACGCUGAGACACGAAAGCCAGGGGAGCGAACGGG
rnacentral:rRNA from 1 species